UACGUAGGGUGCGAGCGUUGUCCGGAAUUAUUGGGCGGAAAGGGCUCGUAGGCGGUCUGUUGCGUCGGGAGUGAAAACUCAGGGCUUAACCCUGAGCCUGCUUCCGAUACGGGCAGACUAGAGGUAUGCAGGGGAGAACGGAAUUCCUGGUGUAGCGGUGAAAUGCGCAGAUAUCAGGAGGAACACCGGUGGCGAAGGCGGUUCUCUGGGCAUUACCUGACGCUGAGGAGCGAAAGUGUGGGGAGCGAACAGG
rnacentral:rRNA from 1 species